rnacentral:tRNA from 1 species
GUGGCGGAAUGGUAGACGCGACGGUUUCAAAAACCGUUACCUUUCGGGGUGUGAGGGUUCGAAUCCCUCGACA